GGUGGGGUUUCCGAGUGGUUAAAGGAGGCAGACUGUAAAUCUGUUGGCAACGCCUUCGAAGGUUCGAAUCCUUCUCCCACCACCA
rnacentral:tRNA from 1 species